rnacentral:rRNA from 1 species
UUUUGGACAAUGGGGGCAACCCUGAUCCAGCAAUGCCGCGUGAGUGAAGAAGGCCUUCGGGUUGUAAAGCUCUUUUGUCAGGGAAGAAACGGUGGGGGCUAAUAUCCUCUGCUAAUGACGGUACCUGAAGAAUAAGCACCGGCUAACUACGUGCCAGCAGCCGCGGUAAUACGUAGGGUGCAAGCGUUAAUCGGAAUUACUGGGCGUAAAGCGUGCGCAGGCGGUUGGGCAAGACAGAUGUGAAAUCCCCGGGCUCAACCUGGGAAUUGCAUUUGUGACUGCACGGCUAGAGUGUGUCAGAGGGGGGUAGAAUUCCACGUGUAGCAGUGAAAUGCGUAGAUAUGUGGAGGAAUACCGAUGGCGAAGGCAGCCCCCUGGGAUAACACUGACGCUCAUGCACGA